rnacentral:rRNA from 1 species
GCUUAACCUUCGGGGGGGCGCUCACCACUUUGUGGUUCAUGACUGGGGUGAAGUCGUAACAAGGUAGCCCUAGGGGAACCUGGGGCUGGAUCACCUCCUUA